UACGGAUAUCCAUACGAGACUUCGAUCUAAUUAAAAGCUUAUUGAUCUCAAUGGUGUGCUAGCUCCCUUAUAGAGAUCACAUCUUGAUGGUUGAAAUUUUUUUUUCUCUCAAGACACUCUUAGAGAAGAAGAAGAAAUAAGAGGAUAUUGAUCUCUACGUUAGAGAUCAUGAGAAGAAUCCUUUCUUCUCAUUUCUUCCUAAAACCCA
rnacentral:lncRNA from 1 species